AUUGAACGCUGGCGGCAGGCCUAACACAUGCAAGUCGAGCGGAGCAGCGGACGGGUGCGUAAUGCCUAUGAAUCUGCCUGUUAGUGGUGGAUAACGUCCUGAACCGGGCGCUAAUACCGCAUACUAUCACCUGCGCCUAGGUCGGAUUAGCUAGUUGGUGGGGUAAAGGCCUACCAAGGCGACGAUCCGUAACUGGUCGGAGAGUCUGAUCAGUCACACUGGAACUGAGACACGGUCCAGAAUCCGACGGGAGGCAGCAGUGGGGAAUAUUGGACAAUGGGCGAAAGCCUGAUCCAGCCAUGCCGCGUGUGUGAAGAAGGUCUUCGGAUUGUAAAGCACUUUAAGUGGGGAGGCGGUACCAACAGAAUAAGCACCGGCUAACUUCGUGCCAGCAGCCGCGGUAAUAC
rnacentral:rRNA from 1 species